AAAAGGAAGAAAGCUUGUUUUCCUUAUAGGCUCCAUGAAGUCAACAGGAAAUGGCUCAGUGUAGAUUAACCUCCUUACUGUCCUGAGUAAAAGGCAAGAGUGAUAUCUUCCUGAGUGACUGAAGAGUUAAUCACAACUUAGGUAUUUCUUACUAUGCGUGUCCCCCCACCCCCAGUCCCCAGGAGAUGCUACAUGAAAAUAAAGUGCUGUGGUCCAGUCUGAUUGGAAAUGCUGCAGGCCAGAGCCCCCUCCCUCAUUGCUAUGAGAUUUCGGAGGCAUGCAUGCAGAACUGGAAGUGAGGGAAGAAGAGGAAAGCCACCAGCGUAGUCUCAGCAGUCGUCUAUAAUAUAACAAUCAGCAGAAUACUAGAGGGCAAAGCCAUAUUGAUCUCUUACCCUGGUGAAAAGUAAAAGAUCACUUAGCUGGUCUUCCAAACUUGUAGAAAUGUGG
rnacentral:lncRNA from 1 species